rnacentral:lncRNA from 1 species
CGCUUCGUAUUCAUGAGCCAGGAGCUGUUUCGUAUAAACACGAUGCCGCCUCUCUCUCCCGUAUAUAACCCAGAAGACUAAAGACAUCAUAACUGCAGUAGAUACCAUAACCAAAUCAUAUAAAUGGAAGUACAACAACUUGUAUAUACAAAAUCAUAUAAAUGGAAAAUGAAAUGAAAUUUCAAAACGUAAAAUGUACCAUUUUGCGAGCAAUCAUCCAUGUUGUCAUGCAUACACUGUGUGACGCUAUCUAACGUGUAAAAUAAAGCAUCAUGAUUGUAGGUCCAGCCAUGCAUCACUUGUAAGAGAUUGCCCUAUAAGCCUAUUUCUAAUGUGUCUGUUAGGAAUGGAGACCCAACCUCAAAUACAAUUGCGCAACACUCAAAUAGCCUGUACUUUAUCCCUUGCUCAUUAAAUGGGACACACUUAAUUAAAGCUUGCAUAACUAGAAUGCUACAAAUUCAGCCGUUUUCAGCUUAUGGCUCUUGGCUUACCAAUUUGAAUUUCCAAAAUCAUAAAUAGCAUUCCAUGAAUUCAAUGUAAAUUAUAUUCUACUGGUAAAGACCCAUGUUUUCCUUGGAUGUGCAAAACUGAAGUUUGCAGUUACCAACCUGUCUUGGAUGUGCUACAAACCAAACAUGACAAGAAUGGUGUUGAGCAAAUCGCUUGAUCUUUGUUAGCGUCUGACUGACAUACUCUGUUUCAGUCCAGUUACAAAUAAAUUGAUUCAGGAAUAAUGACUUUAUACGGACAAUCUGAAAUGAAAGGGAAAGGAGGAAAAGGAAAAGGGCUUUUUAUAAAAAGAAUGCAAGCAAAAGAAAUAUUAAACAGCAGAUGAAGACCGUCUUUAUUCUUGACAAUAAUAAUAAUUUUCAAAAAAUGACAUUGAUUUCAAACUACCACUAAAGAUCCAAAAUAAUUGUUAGAGGACUACAGUAUUCAGCUCUAUCUAGUACAACAGAAGAUAUUAUUUAAGUAACCAAUUAAAUAUGUCAAAGUUUAAGCCUGAUGUAUAAUAGAUGUCCAAACUUCAAAUCUCUUACAACGUUGUAUGUGUUUCAUCUUAUUUGUUAUAAUAUUUCAGUUUCCCUUGCGUUCUAAGAACUAAAAUGAAGCCUGCCUCUCCAAACAAGCAUCUGGCACGUCCCUUAUGCUGAUUCCCUGAAGCUAAGGCCAUAGCCUAAUAUGUUCCUUGCUAAAAAAUUUGCUCAAGUUCUUUUAGCUUUCAACUUGUUCUACUUUGUUCAUGAGAUGCAAAAAAGUAUCUCUGUGCAUUCACUUUUGAGCUAACUCUUUGAAUAAACACCCAUGUUUUAAUAACUCCAGCUUGGUGCUAGUUUAUGCAUAUUAUAAUUGAUUCCAAAAAUCACAACAAACUUUCUUCAAAACCUACAAAAGCAUUUCAAAACUUUAAUCACAAAAACACCAAAAGUACACAUUUUAAACUGUAGCAAGCAGAAGAUACCAAAAACCCCUAAAACAAUCAAAACUCACUAAUUAUGCCAAACUUCAUACAUGCGCUUCGCCAUGUGAAACCCAACUCACACACGAUCUCAACUACGCCGGAAGAGAAUCAAAGAUUUGGAAGAUGUGGCUGUUCAUACUCGUUCUUUUCCUCAAAAACUCACCUCAAAUCUCAGUAGAACAAAAGGUCGAAUAUAUAUACACACACAUACACACAAGAUCCUAGAUGUUACGUUGGUGAUGAACCCCAACUUUUUGCCUCAAUUUACCGAACCCUCAUUUGUGGGUAUCUAAAUUUCUCAGCUUUAGAUGAGAGAGGGAGACGAAGAUGAAGAACGAAAGUACGAAAUGAGAGUUUAGACUUGUGAGAUCUAAUUUGGGGAUCUGUUUUAUCUUUU